rnacentral:rRNA from 1 species
CAGUAGCCACGGGAAUACGGAGGAUCCAAGCGUUAUCCGGAAUCAUUGGGUUUAAAGGGUCCGUAGGCGGUCUUGUAAGUCAGUGGUGAAAGCCCAUCGCUCAACGGUGGAACGGCCAUUGAUACUGCAGGACUUGAAUUAUUGGGAAGUAACUAGAAUAUGUAGUGUAGCGGUGAAAUGCUUAGAGAUUACAUGGAAUACCAAUUGCGAAGGCAGGUUACUACCAAUUGAUUGACGCUGAUGGACGAAAGCGUGGGUAGCGAACAGGAUUAGAUACCCCUGUAGUCCCUGUCUCUUAUAC